GACGAACGCUGGCGGCGUGCCUAAUACAUGCAAGUAGAACGCAGUUGCGAACGGGUGAGUAACGCGUAGGUAACUGCCUCAUAGCGGGGGAUAACUAUUGGAAACGAUAGCUAAUACCGCAUACUGUGAGAUGGACCUCCGUUGUAUUAGCGAGUUGGUGAGGUAAAGGCUCACCAAGGCCACCAUACAUAGCCGACCCUGGAGGGUGAGCGGCCACAAUGGGAAUGGGACACGGGCCAGACCCCUUCGGGAGGCAGCAGGAGGGGAUUCUCGGCAAUGGACGGAAGUCUGGACGGGCAAAGCCGGGUGAGGUAAGAAGGGUUUCGGAUUGGAAAGAUCUGUUGUUAGGGAAGCGGUAACUAACCAGAAAGGGACGGCUAACUACGUGCCAGCAGCCGCGGUAAUAC
rnacentral:rRNA from 1 species